UUAAAAUAGCCACUGUUUAUAUACCUCUCAACAUUAUGCUAGCACCAGUCGAAACACUAUUAGUCAAGUAAGUGCAAAAGCAGGUAUAUUCUCCUUCAUCAAAGACAUUGAAAUCGUGGACUAGUAGUAUAUGACGAGAGUCCAGGGAGAAGAUAUUGUAUUUUAAGGAAGAACAUAUUUCGACUUGAUCUUUGAACCUUUAAUUGUCAUUGUCAAAAUCAAACAACUACAGCACACACAUCAAUAGAUACAAGCGGGCAUAAAAAAAUUGAAACUGGACCGACAAGGCGGGCACAAGCAGUAAAAUUCCCACUGGGGCAGGCCGAGUCUGAAAACUUUCCAUUCGCAGUCCUAUGCACUCUCGAGACCUUUGUAACUUGUAAAUUUCCAACUACAUUUAAUAUUAUUCUAAAAAAAAAAUCUGGCAAGUUUAUUUAUGAAGAAAUCAAAUUAAGUGUUAUUUGUAUAAUAUU